rnacentral:rRNA from 1 species
AUUGAAAGCUGGCGGCAGGCUUAACACAUGCAAGUCGAACGAGUGGCGGACGGGUGAGUAAUGCUUGGGAAUCUAGCUUAUGGAGGGGGAUAACUACGGGAAACUGUAGCUAAUACCGCGUACCAUAGGAUGAGCCCAAGUGGGAUUAGGUAGUUGGUGAGGUAAAGGCUCACCAAGCCGACGAUUGCUAGCUGGUCUGAGAGGAUGACCAGCCACACGGGUACUAGGACACGUCCCAGACUCCUACGGGAGGCAGCAGAGGGGAAUAUGGCGCAAUGGGGGCAACCUGACGCCGCCAUGCCGCGUGAAUGAUGAAGGCCUUCGGGUGGUAAAGUUCUUUCGGUAGCGAGGCGUUAACUACAGAAGAAGCACCGGCUAACGCCGUGCCAGCCGCCGCGGUAAUAC